rnacentral:rRNA from 1 species
AUUGAACGCUGGCGGCAUGCCUUACACAUGCAAGUCGAACGGCAGCACGGGUGCUUGCACCUGGUGGCGAGUGGCGAACGGGUGAGUAAUACAUAGGAACAUGUCCUGUAGUGGGGGAUAGCCCGGCGAAAGCCGGAUUAAUACCGCAUACGAUCUACGGCUGAAAGCGGGGGAACUUCGGGCCUCGCGCUAUCGGGUUGGCCGAUGGCUGAUUAGCUAGUUGGUGGGGUAAAGGCCUACCAAGGCGACGAUCAGUAGCUGGUCUGAGAGGACGAGCAGCCACACUGGGACUGAGACACGGCCCAGACUCCUACGGGAGGCAGCAGUGGGGAAUUUUGGACAAUGGGCGAAAGCCUGAUCCAGCAAUGCCGCGUGUGUGAAGAAGGCCUUCGGGUUGUAAAGCACUUUUGUCCGGAAAGAAAUCCAUGGCUCUAAUACAGUCGGGGGAUGACGGUACCGGAAGAAUAAGCACCGGCUAACUACGUG